rnacentral:rRNA from 1 species
GUAGGGUGCGAGCGUUGUCCGGAUUUACUGGGCGUAAAGGGCUCGUAGGUGGUGUGUUGCGUCGUCUGUGUAAUCCAGGGGCUUAACUUUUGGUUGGCAGGCGAUACGGGCAUUGCUUGAGUGCUGUAGGGGAGACUGGAAUUCCUGGUGUAGCGGUGAAAUGCGCAGAUAUCAGGAGGAACACCGAUGGCGAAGGCAGGUCUCUGGGCAGUUACUGACGCUGAGGAGCGAGAGCAUGGGUAGCGAACAGGAUUAGAUACCCUGGUAGUCUAUGCUGUAAACGGUGGGCGCUAGGUGUGAGCCUCUUCCACGGGGUUUGUGCCGUAGCUAACGCUUUAAGCGCCCCGCCUGGGGAGUACGGCCGCAAGGCUA